rnacentral:lncRNA from 1 species
GACAAGAGUAAUACCUUCCUAGUAAAGAUGACUUCAUAUGAUACUUCAAAAUCUGUGAUUCCAUGAAGCCAAGAGUAGCUCUUCAACAGGAAAUGAAUGAGUGCUUCAGCUUCUGAUCCCAUUAGUAAGAAAAUACAGUCUUAUGAGCAAUGAUGGAGCUGCAUCUCUUAGGGGCAUUUGAUUCCCAAGAGACCAAAGCGCAAAGAGAAUGUCAAUUAAAAAAAAUCAAAUGUUUCCAUGACUUAGCUAUUUAACUGCUUUAAAAUGAAUGAAUGCUGCUUCAAGUUCUUUCAAAUACCCCACAUCUUGGCAACAACGAAAGGAAUUAACAUGAAGAAAAUUUACAAUCUUUCAUCACAUCGAACAAUGUCCCACAUUUGAAAAGUUCACAGCACAGAUUUCUGGUUCCUGAAAGAAACGAAAGACCUUCUUUGGAUUUGAAUAAACAGAUGGACUUUCUUCUCCUUUUUCUUAUAGUGCCCGAUUUGUGUAAAGGGAGGUGGGAAGAAAACAUCUUAGCUUAAAAGAGUGUCCUAUAAAAUAAAAGGUUUCAUACUUG